rnacentral:rRNA from 1 species
UUCGUAGGCGGCCAACUAAGUCAGACGUGAAAUCCCUCGGCUUAACCGGGGAACUGCGUCUGAUACUGGAUGGCUCGAGUUUGGGAGAGGGAUGCGGAAUUCCAGGUGUAGCGGUGAAAUGCGUAGAUAUCUGGAGGAACACCGGUGGCGAAGGCGGCAUCCUGGACCAACACUGACGCUGAGGAGCGAAAGCCAGGGGAGCAAACG